AUAAAUUUUAUUUUUACAAACUGGAAAAAUCAUUGUCGAAAUUUAUGGUCAAAAUUAUAAAGUUUGACCCUCGUACUCCGAAAAGAUUCACAUAAAUUAAAACGGAAGGAGUAUUAGAAAAAGUGCUGAAAAGACAUCAAAAAAGGCGUGACCCUUUUCAUUUUCCAUUUUCUACCUAAUUAGCAAAGCAACAAACUUGAGUCAUUCACAUAGGGUUUUCAAUCUUCGUCUAAUUACGCCAAUAUUCAUGUGAACAUGAUCAAUUUAAUAGCAAACUCAGGAUUUUCACUACGCAGAGUCAAUAUGCGCAGUGUAAAUUUUAGACGAGGAGGGGUCAAUUGAUUUCCCAGAUUUCCCAGAUAGCUCUGCCCCGGGACCUGAUUAGUUGUGAAAAUCUUCCUCUUCAUUGUCACAAUCUGAAGUUAUUUUUCAUUCAUUUAUUAGAGUGUCUCUGUAUCCACCGUCCAAUAUAUAUCUAGGAACCUUUUCAGAAACAGCAAGUAGCUUCUCCUUUUAUAAAUCAGUAGCCAAUAGGAGCAGUCAAAUUGAGGUCUAGUAACUAAUUACGUGACCAUAAUUAAUAAGCCGUCAUAAGAAAAAAGGGCAGCCUAGAUCUGAGUUUUAAGAUUGAGAUCUUAAUUAAAAAGGUAGACAUUUUAAAGUGACUGCAUACAUACUAAGUUACAGUGUGUGUAGCAUCAAGUGAAAAUCUUUUACAUGAUCAUACAACUCAUAUUAAGCCAAUUGAAUAUGAUGAACCAUAAUUCAUCUAAUACAGUUAGUGUUGUUAAUCAUGUUUGUCAUGUGAUCGAUAAAAAGCAGAACGAUAAACGACACAUAAAAGCAGCUAUUUAUAACACUGUUAACUUUAUUGUGAUAUUGAAAAAUGAUUGUGAACUAACAAGGGCUUAUAAAGUCAGUAACAAGUUCUGAAUGAAAAAUUGGUAGCUGAAGAUGAAAAAAGCAUCUAGAUUUAAGAGGCUAAUCGAAAACUUAUACUAAUAGAGAUGUAGAUAUAAACAAGAAAAUGAAAUUGAGGAAAUUAUAAACAAAUAUCUAAUUAAACAUGAUCAAUGCGAUCCUUAAAAGACAACUAAUAUACUUAGAUUUCACUUUUACUUGGAGGAAAUUGUAAAGAAAUACUCCUUCCCUUCACUUUUACUUGUCCACUAUACUAAAAAUAAAUUUUCACUUUAACUUGGUCACUAUACUAAAAAUAAAUUUCACUUUUUUUAUUCUUUUUAUUUGAGGAAUACGGAUAAUUAUAUUACUUACUAAGUAGAGUGCAAAAUAUUACAUUGCAUUGUGUCACUUAGGACACUUUGAUUGCCCAGACUAGCAAGGAGACUACAGAUGUCAACCUUGACAUACUUUGUACAUAGUAAACUACCCGAAAGAUCAGUACUUAGUUGUCUUAACACAAAAGUAGGUGGUAUAGCAUAUUUCUUAACACGACUAGAUUUAGAUUUUGAAGCCUCCUUUGCUAACAGGUGAGCAACUUGAUUUCCUUCAGGAAAGAGAUGUCGAAUUUGCACUUGCUUCCUCCGGAGAAUAAAUCAUCUGCAAGAUGAGACGAGAAUCAUAACUCAUAAGAAUGUCCACUUUAGCAUAUCAAGAGAAAAACAUAUAUUAAUUACUUUCCCCCAAAUUAUCUCUCAAGACUUAAGAUAUACACCUAUAAAUGUGGAUAUUAUGAUGAAGAAAAUGCAAUUUAUUGUGAACAAAUAAAGAUGAAUGGAGGGAGUAUCUAAUUCCAUA